rnacentral:rRNA from 1 species
AUGAGAGAAGAUGGAAAGACGGUUUACGCUGUCACUUAUAGAUGGGCCCGCGGCGCAUUAGCUAGUUGGUGAGGUAAUGGCUCACCAAGGCGACGAUGCGUAGCCGACCUGAGAGGGUGAUCGGCCACACUGGGACUGAGACACGGCCCAGACUCCUACGGGAGGCAGCAGUAGGGAAUCUUCCGCAAUGGACGAAAGUCUGACGGAGCAACGCCGCGUGAACGAAGAAGGCCUUCGGGUCGUAAAGUUCUGUUGUUAGGGAAGAACAAGUACCAGAGUAACUGCUGGUACCUUGACGGUACCUAACCAGAAAGCCACGGCUAACUACGUGCCAGCAGCCGCGGUAAUACGUAGGUGGCAAGCGUUGUCCGGAAUUAUUGGGCGUAAAGCGCGCGCAGGUGGUUCCUUAAGUCUGAUGUGAAAGCCCACGGCUCAACCGUGGAGGGUCAUUGGAAACUGGGGAACUUGAGUGCAGAAGAGGAAAGUGGAAUUCCAAGUGU